UGUGGGAGCGGGCUUGCUCGCGAAGGCGUCAGUUCAGUCAGCAUGUGUGUUGACUGACACCCCGCUUUCGCGAGCAAGCCCGCUCCCAUA
rnacentral:misc_RNA from 1 species